GGCAUUUGAUUCCAAAAGGCAAGAAGACGUACUUCAUCUGGAACAUCGUGAAGUCACAGAAGAACUUCUCGAGUGUUCCGAUUGGAAGGGAGCCCUUUGAGUAAGUGAAAUGAAGCGUGAAUAACUGCCUAAUUAGUGGACAUGAAACCUGGACAGUCUCCAAAGUCAUCAGAGAUGACCACGCUUGCCAGGCAACUUACUAGACUAAGGGUGACGUGCCCAUCAUGCAGGAAGCUUCUCCGAGGCUGGCGAGAGCAACUUGUCUGCUUUGAGAAAUGCAGAUCUAUCAGGAUCCAGAAUCGGACUCUGAAAAAGCUGUCAUUUCAUGUCUCUAAAACAGCCUUUGAUUUAAUGUACAAGAUGUCAAGAAGUAAAGGACAAUAAAAUAAAAACCAAAAAAGGAAAACUAUUUCAAUUAAGAAGCAUUUCUAUAUCAAUUCUUGGAAAUCACAUAAAAUAAAAGCUGUCAGAAUCAA